AUGAGUGUUAUUGUUGGACCUAUCCAGCUUCAGGAGGCUCCCACUGAGAACAGAAAUGCUGGUAUUGAUCUGGCCUCUAACACCCAGGAGAGAGGGGAGUCUGAGAGCUCAGCGCCUGCUGCCGGCUCUCAUGUUCCUCUGGCUGUGACCGCCGUGGUGUUGGCAGCUGCUGUCCUCACCGUGGGAGGAUUUCUUCUGAAGCGCAAACUGCAGGAACCCACCCCGUACCAGAUAAUGUGAGAGGUGACCAAACAUCUGCUGGUGGAGGGUGCAAUUUGAACAUUACAGCGCAUCUCAACUGAGCUCCUACUUUGAGAGUCUGUCUCAGGAGACUGAUUUGGGUGGCUUGAGAAAGAAGUGAUUUCUUUUGCCGUGUUUAUAUCCAUAUAAAGCGUAUGGUAGUGUCUUACUGAUAUGAGAUACUCUGGAGAGUAAUCCAAGAAAAAUAUUUAUUUUGGGUAAAAGUAUCUCCGUAAUCAGCCAUAAGCAAAAAUAUACACUUUGCACAUAAGGAAUUGCUCCAGUACAACCUUCCCUGUUUUGAGGGACAUGGUUCUUCACAUUUAGGUGUUUCUCUGAGAAAAUGUAGACCAUUUCUGAGCCUUUGUCUAGAAUAAGAUCAAACCUGUUAUGUAAGCAUGUAAUUAAUAAAAACAAAAGAGAAAAAAAAAUUAGAGCAAUAUUUUGUGUAUUUGCAAAUGCGCUGCCUGUGUGUUUUAGCUGGGAGCUCAAACAUUUUCAGAUUGAAGAACAUGAUUUCUGACAAAGUGAAUUUGACAAGCAAUGAUACAUGCUUUCGUUCUUACGCAUUUCUAAACCUGUAGUGUGGGUGGAAGAGAGAGUGUACAUAAAUUACCAUAAGGAAGUGUCACCGAUCUCCUAUCCCCAUGUGAAAACACAACAGAAACAACAGAAACAGCAAUAAAGGAAGAACCUGCUUGGAAGAACUCACUUAUUAUGGUGGAAAGGUCACUGGUGUUUGAUUGAGAAAUGCACCUCUUCAGACUUUCCUAUUUUCUUUUGAGCUGUGAAAGAUGAAUGUUGGGAACAACAUAAUGUACUAUGCUUGAGGUGGGCCAGAGACCAGGUAGUGACCUAUACUCCAGUGUAUCAUCCUGUCCUGACGUGGAGGAUGUGGGCAUCUCAGUGGGUAAUAAUCACUUCAGCCUGUAUUAUUUCUUCCUAUAAACUGCCUUUUCUAGGUGACCCAACACAGGCAUCUUCCCAUCUCUCCAUGCUGUGGAAAAGGGACCUUACAAGGAGGGACUGGCAUUGCCCACAGAGAAUGGAAAGGAAUUUUAUUGCCUGCACAUGAGGAGCAAGGACUGAGGAACAUCCUCCCCUCCUCUACUUAAAGCCACAUUUGAAGGGCGGUACAAUCCAGUAAACUGGAUUGCCUUUCAUCUAGUCCUGUUGUGCAGCCUAGAGAUUACCCAGACCUGGAUGUGCUCAGCAUAGCAGACCCUUUCCUGGUCCUGGAGUUUUCUGCCUUGCUAGAAGAGGACCUUCCCCUCUGUUCUUCCCAAACAUGUUGUUUUCUCUCCUGCACCAGCUCCCUUUAUGGCCUUGCAGCUGCAGUUGUGCUACUCCACCAUUUUCAGGGCAUAGCCUGAUGGCACUUUUUCUAUUUUGCAGUCCCAGAGUACCUUUGUGAUCAGAUUAGCAGAAAGAUCCUAGGCCUAGGGUGUUGAUGUCUUCCAUCUGCAACAUGCUUGUACUGCUCAGAACUGAGUCUUUCCAUGCUAUGCCUGUGCCAGGGGUUCCAGAUGGGGAUAUAUGAGAAUUAUGCCAGAAUACAAGGAAGAAAUACCAAGUUGAGUGGUUUCCACAUUAAAUGUUGCUGCAGAAAACACUGCUGAACUACUCAACCACUUGAUUUCUCAGAAUCAUUCUCCUUAUCUCCCCUCACCUUCUGUAAUCCACAAACAUUGUCCAUAAUGCAGAGUUCAAGAAAAAUGGAAUUGGUGAGGAAAAAAAAGGUCAUGUUCUAAAGUAAACGUGCUUAGCGAAAGGCCCCUCUGUUAAGAACCAUCCCUCCCACCUCCUGUCCCACCAGAUUCAGGAGCUCUUCUAGUGGUAAAUCCAGUUGAUUUGAUUCUCACCUAUAUAUGGUUUUGAUCUGCUUGCCUCUUCACCAUUAAACCAAUGCAAAUGGAUUUGUAAUGACAUUUUUCAUGUGAUACAGGCAACAGAGCCCAAGAGGCCAUCAAGAAACCCAAUAAAUUCAACUACGCCACCUCAAUAGUUCCUAACUUGAGCAUUCAGACUGUUGUUCCUUUGUGCAGAAGUCUGCGGAUACCCUAGUUCCAUUGUAGAUGGUUUUUGGGUAGUCAUGAAUGAAAGCUGAUUAGUCUUCUGUGUCUUUUCAAUGGCUUUCAUCUGAACCUCACAAAAGUCAGUAUGUCUGCAGAAGUCUCCUGCAGAAAUAGGCAGCAGAACAGAAAGUGUUUUCAAAGCUUAAUGGAUCUUCU
rnacentral:lncRNA from 1 species